UGGGAUCCGGCUGGGUGGGGCUCCCUGCUCAGCGGGGCCUCUGCUUGUCUCUCUCCCUCUCCCCCUCCUUCCCGCUCCUGCUUUCUCUCUCUCUCUCUCAAAUAAAUAAAAUCUUAAAAAACAAAAAAAAAAAGUUACACAUGUUCCAGAGGGAGGAGGGUCGUUAGGCGCCAGGGCUGGUUAGGUCACAGCGGGACCGUCUGCCAACUGGCCUGGAACUGAACACUGGCCACGGCUCCUUAAUCCAGGGUAAGUAGCAAAAACGAACUGCAACUGGGUUAAAAUCUGGCAGGGGCCAUCACGUUAGACCGGGGAGCACGGUUAAGAGAAACGGGUCCUCCCUGUGGCCAAGGCCUCUUUUGGAUCCUCUGGUUCCAGAAAAAGACAUCUCCAUGCACACGAGGUACAGAACGAAGACCGCAGGCAAGAAAACUACCAGCAUCCCUUCUCCCCUCAGCAGCCCCGAACUCAGACCGCCAUCAAACACGGUAAAGGAAUAGCCAGGUAAAAAGUGCAAACCAUUGUCUUGUAAAAGCCUUGAAAAGUCACCUACAUUUGUUGAAGUCCUUAAGUCAGUGCUGCUCAAAGAAUGGUCCAAGACUGGUGUCAACCCACAAACUGUUUCUGGUUCAAAUGAGGUCCUCAGCGUCUUCUCCAUUCAGCUGGUGAUGGAGAAAGAGAGUGAAGACCAAGCAUGGGAGGAAAUUUGUGGGCCAGGCCUGGAAGUGCCACCCGUGACUUCCACUCACAUUCCAUUGGCCAGAACUCAGCCUCAUGGCCACGCUUAAAAGCAAGGAAAGCGGGAAGUUCCUAAUUUUAUUGUCCUGUACUCCAGAAACUAUCUGAUCUUAACCCCAAGGCAGCUUGCUGAUUGCCAAACUACAAGACAGAGGCAGGGCUAUCUGGGCCCCGGUAGAGCCGAUUCCGAGCCCCCUGGCAACCCCUGCCGGCCUUCCACCUCCUUUUUAGAAAGGUAAAUUCUCUUCAGAGUUGUUGAUUCCUGAACAAAUAUUGUCUACAAUAUUAUAGUGGGCCAAACAAUGUCCCCCAAAAUUCACACCCACCCCAAACUUCAGACUGUGACCUAAAUUGGAAAUAGGGUCUCUGCAGAUAUAAGGUGAGGAUUGAGAGGAGAUCAUACAGGAGUAGGGUGGACCCUGAAUCCACUGAGAGUGUCCUUAUAAGAGACAGAAAAGGACACACAGACACACUGAGAAGGGGGCGAUGUGAAGACAGAGGCAGAGAUGGAAGCAGUGCUGCCCCGAGCACCAGGAGCCACCAGAAGCCGGAAGAGGCAAGGAAGGGUCUCCCUGAGAGCCUUCAGGGGGAGCACAGUCCUGCCAGCACCUCGAUUUCGGACUUCUGACCUCCCAACCACAUGUGAGAGAUACAGUUCCAUUUCAAGUCACCAGACUUUUGGUGUGGUAAUUUGCUGUAGCAUUUCUAGAAAACAGAUACAGUGGCAAGUGCACUUUCCCAAUUCUAUUGAACUACAUGUCUCCAAACCUUCAGAAUUGCCAAGCUGAGUUAAGAAGAAACAGGAUCUGGAUCUGUUUCCCACAAAAAUGUCAAUAUUUGCUAACACAAAGAGCUGGGAGUACCCCCAAUGGGAUGCCAUCUGUCCUUGUCUUGGAGAGCCUGCCAGGAAAUCUUUCCACAGCCAAGAGAGGAUUAUUUAGCAUAGCUGACACUGAAAUUCAGCAAGGUGGCUGACGGACCAGAAACUGGCUGAUGUAAAGAGAUAUUCUGCCAUGUGAAAACAGGAAGUAUAGAAAUGUGUUUCAUGUUUGAGACUGUAAACGAAGGAUUAUGUAUUUUCCCAAAAUAUUUCCUAUAGGAAUCUUGUAACCAGCAGGAUCACCUUGUUGAUUUAAACAUUCGGAUCAUUAACAAGUCAUUCUGCUGUACAGCUUUUUAGGAAGUGAGCAGCUGGUGAAAGCCAGUUCCCCUCCCAGGGUUCCCCAAUUUCGGCCGUGCUGUCUCUCCAGCAGAGAAGCUCACUGCUCUCUUCUGUUACAUGUGGAAACUCAGUUCCUUGGCAGUUUUAGGGGAGAGGCAGAACACACAUCACCCAGCUUCUCAAGUGUGAGCUCUGACCUGGGUUCCCAAGGAGGGUCUUAGCUACUUGGAUUCCUUUGGGGGAAAACAACGACGACCACACAACCACCACCCAGAUUCCUUUGGACAGCAACCUGAGGAGUAAUUCAGGAGGUCAUCCUGGGCAGAAGUGAAAUUCUUCAAAAUACGUUGGACAGCCGUAUCAGGGUCUAGUUCUCUGCCCACACAGUAUUGCUCUGUGGGAUAUUUACCACUCAGAAUUGCUUAUCCAUUUGUAUAUUGUCCGGCUCUCCCCUGAAAACAAAUUCCUUUAAGAACCUCAAACCAGGGGCGCCUGGGUGGCUCAGUUGGUUGAUCGUCUGCCUUCGGCUCAGGUCAUGAUCCCAGGGUCCCAGGAUCAAGCCCCGCAUCAGGCUCCCUGCUCAGCGAGGAGCCUGCUUCUCCCUCUGCCCCUCACCCGGCUCACGCUGUCUCUUGCACUCUCUCUCUCUCAAAUAAAUAAAUAAAAUCUUAAAAAAAAAAGAACCUCAAACCAUCUGUAGCAUCUGAGUCCAUAGUAUUCUUGUGACCCCUAAACACUCUGUCCAGCUGUGUCCUUUCUUCCAAGUUUGCCUGCUGCCAGCCUUCAGCGAGACCUUCAUCUAAUCUCACUCUUCUCAAGAAAAGAAUAGUCAUCCCAGCCUCAACAGAGCUCUAGGAGAUCUCCCCCAGCUAUCCCUCCCGUAGGCUGAAUGGACUAGGAGUCUUCUCUCACAGCAAGGCAUUUGGCUGCUCCACAGGCUGCUUGGCCCAGCUUAAGUACUUCCAGCUAAUCCAGGAGGGUCUUGGCCAGUAUGGAAAUACAUUUCAGCCCCCCAUGGGGUGGGCAUGUUUACCUACACACUUUUGGAUAUGCACUAAAUUAAUUAAUUCAAUAAAUAUUUAAUGAGCACCUACUAGGCGCUAAAAAAACCCAGGAAUAAAACAAACCCCAGGUCUGUUGGAGUUUGCAGUCCACAUGGGGCAGACAAACAAUCAACAAAUAAUUUUUCAGGGGGUGAUCAAUGCUAAAAAAUAUGAACAAAGCAGGGAAAAAGAGAUAAAGGAGAGGUGAGUGAUGGUAUGUGUACGGGAGCUCACACCUGUGUUACAUAAGGAAGUGCCUAGGGAAAGUCUGACUUCAAGAGGGCAAGAGAGAGAACCACACAGCUAGCUGGAUGAAAGAGUAUUCCAGGUAGUGAGAAUAGUGAGUGCAAAGGCCCUGAGACAGGUGAGCACCAACUUUUUUCAAAAAAUAGCGGGAAGGCCAGUGCGGAGAAGGGUAUCAGGUGCCAAGUCAUACUGGACCCAUCACAGACCAUGGUGAAGAAUUUGUACUUUACUCUGAGUGAGAUGGGAAGCUAUUAGAGGACUGUGAACAAGAAAUUAAUACAUGCACGCAACAAACACUUAAGGAAUGCUUUUAUUUUUGCUUUCCUUGACUCUACCCUGCUUUAUGAGAAUGGUAUUUUCUUUUCCAAAUAUGGAAGGAUGGAAAGCAAAUAUAAAAAUCCUGAUCUUAAAAUCUCUGGGUCUAAUUUUAACAUCCUACAUCUACCAGAGAUUUGGUUAUUAGAAAACUACCCCAUGUCCAAGACUUAGGUCCUUCUUUUCAUUUGUUGCUCAGCAACGUAUUUUAAAAAUACUUCUUAUAUGGACAUUUUCAAACUUAAUACAAAAUUAGAACACCCAGCUUCCAGCAAUUAUCAAUUCCAUGGCUAGACUUUUUUCUUCUAAACUGUCAUCUGUUUUCCUCCCCUUCUUUUUUUUAAGAUUUAUUUAUUUGACAGAAAGAGAGAGAUCUUGGAAGGGAGGGGCAGAAGGAGAGGGAAGAGAGUAUUAAGCAGACUCCCCACUGAGCGCAGAGCCCCACGUGGGGCUCCAUCUCAUGAUCCUGAGAUCAUGACCUGAGCUGAAACCAAGAGUCCAACAUUUAACUGACUGAGCCACCCAGGCGCCCUUCCGCCCUUUCCUUAUACAGAAAGGGUACUUUACGACAAGUCCCAGGCACAUCUUUUCAUCCGUGAAUGCUUCAAUAUGUAUUUCCAAAAAUAAAAUCUUUCUUUUUUGCAUCAUCAUAAUGCCAUAUCACACCUACAAAUUGAACAAUAAUUCCUUAAUACCAUAAAAAAAUCCAGUCAGUAAUCAGAUUUUUCUGGUUGUCACAUUAAUGCUUUAAAAAAAUUAGUUGAGGGCACCUGAGCUGAAGGCUCAGGUCAUGACCCCGGAGUCCUGGGAUUGAGCCCCGUAUCGGGCUCCCUGCUUGGCGGGGAGUCUGCUUCUCCCUCUGCCUCUGCCUCUCUCUCUGUCUCUCAUGAAUAAAUAAAUAAAUAAAUCUUUUUAAAAAUAAAUAAAUCUUAAAAAAAAUUAGUUGUUUUGUUUAAAUCAGGAUCCAAACACGGUUCACACACUGCAUUCGGCUGAUAGGUCUUAUAAAUCUUUUUUAAACUGUGACUGUUCACUCUCCCUCUUUUUUCCCCCUUGUCUUUUAUUUGUUAAAGAAAGCUGAUGAUUUAGGGUGCCUAGGUGGCUCAGUUGGUUAAGCGACUGCCUUCAGCUCAGGUCAUGAUCCUGGAGUCCCGGGAUCGAGUCCCGCAUCGGGCUCCCUGCUCUGCAGGGAGUCUGCUUCUCCCUCUGACCCUCCCCCCUCUCAUGUGCUCUCUCUCAUUCUCUCUCUCUCAAAUAAAUAAAUAGAAUCUUAAAAAAAAAAAAAGAAAGCUGAUGACUUAUUCCUUAGAAGUCCCCCAUUUUCUAUCUUGCUGAAUGCCUCUGCAGGGAGUUGUUGAAUAUUCCUCUUUUCCCCCCGUUUUGCCUACAAACUGGUAGCCCUCGAGGCAUAAUCGAGUUGGAUUUUUUUGGCAAGACUACCUCAUAGAAAGUGCUGUCCACUUCCCGUUGCACCCCAUCAGGAGGUACGCCCUCCCUCCCUCCUUCACUCUCUCUUUGUAGUAAAACACAUAUAGGAGUAAAUUUACCGUUUUAGCCAUAUUAAAGAGUUCUGUUCAGUGGCAUCUAGUACUGGAACAAUGUUGUACAAAUAUCACUACUAAUUCCAGAACUUUUCCAUCACGCCUCAAAGAAACCCUUGACCCACGAAGUCGUCACUCUCCAAUCGCUCCUGCUCCCAGUCCAGGGAAAUACAACGUUAAAUGAAAGGACACAGGCUUCUUGGCUGCACAACUUCCCAGCGGCCUCAACAUCACCACCUCCAGACCAGCCUGGCGGAUCCCAGCCCUUGGCCCAGACAUUUUGGUUGUGAGGCCACAGAGCAGUCUGGCGUGUUGAAAGCAAACCACACUGGCGUCUAGGAGACCUGGAGGUCUCUAAUAGACGGCUUUGAUUUUCCCUCAUCGGCAGCAGCCACAACCCUCGUCCGUCUGCAAGCCAGCCCCUAAUUCAUAAUCACUAUUAACCUUAAAAAGUCGGCUGGUUCUGUGGAUCUGGUUCCUGCAGAGGUAACUCACUUAAUCAAAAAGGAUCAAUUUCCUAGAGAGAAGAGAACAGUGCAUUAGCCAAGCAAAGAGCGGUAGCUCUGCUUCUGAAUUAGACUCUCCAACAAGCCCAUGAGCGCUUUCCACUCCUCUCAUUCAGCCUUUCCUCCCUUUCAAAGUUUCCAGACCUCUUGCCAUCCUGGUGGUCCACCAUCAGCUGGUGUCAAUUAGCCAAUGGUCUUAAAAGGGAUGCCCAGCAAAGGAGUAAAAGAUGGCACAGAUAGUCUGGUUGGAGUCCCCUUUUCUAGGCAGUAUACUUCUAGAUAGUUGGAAUUGCCCAAGUCCCUCUCCCUACUUCAGAGGAGGAGGACAAACGAAGAGAAGGAGGACAGACGAAGAGAAGGAGGUUCCACUGGAACCGCGUCAUGCCUGCGAACCGAGGAGCCAGCGAGAGCAAGCAUGCCCGCUGUCUGAUGAGCUACCCUCUCUCCCUCUUGCCGGCCUGGUCUGGACUAAGUUCUCUGGGUCAUGUCCCUCCGUUUGGUUGGCUCCCUGAAGACCUUCAGGAGAGCUAGAUUGGUCCUGGGUUAUGCGCCCGCAGAGUUCAGCAAGUUCAGUGAGGUGAACUGGUACCUGGACACGGGGCUUGAAGAUUACUGGCCUGUCAAGUCACUUGAUGAGUCGAGAUACAGUCUUACCAUUUCAAAGCUAUCAAGACUAAAACCCUCAAUUAUAUACCCAUAAAAAAAUUUAAAACAUAACAAGUGCAACCCCAACGACAACAAAACACUGAAAAACUAAAGUGUUUCCCUCCCCCUCAUGUCAAUGAGUAGGUUUUCUUAACUGAACCAAGGCCGUCCAUCUAUUUGAACUGGGAAUCCACCUCUGGGUUCGAUCAAGGAUUUCAGGAAAAUAAAUGUAUCUACUAGAAAAGCCUUACAAAAAGUACAAAAAGUACAUCAUUUAAAGGUGUGCAUUUGGGGGGCACAGGGCAAAUUCCAACGGUACAAAGGGCAUGUGAUGAAAAAUAAAGCUCCUUCUUAUCCUUUCUAGGUUUUGUUCCUUAGAGAUAUUCAGUGAGACCGAUUUGUUGGCUAUUCUUUGAAAAUAUUUUAUGCUUAUAUCAUAUACCACCUCCUACACGUGUAGGCAGCUUCUUGAAAAGCAAGUUGUUUCUGACCUUUUUGCUAUUGUAAAAAAUGCUCUAAUGAAAUGUCCAUGUCCCUAUACACACCUGUGCCAUGAGUCUCUCAGUCCAUGGGGAUAAAUGUAUUUGAAGGGUGCAUUUCAGGAAGUGAAAUUAACAGGCUCAUUGACUAUGCACACACUUAGUUUUGAUAGAUGGUCCAAAUCCCACCCCCAGUGCCUCCCCCCCACCCCAGGGGUUGAGCCAGUUUAUCAGACACCAAGAGUGUAUGAGAGUCAUCUUCCUGAAUGUUCUUAUUGCUUCUAAUAGUUUUUCUGUUGAUUUUCUGUGUGUUCUUCCAGUUAUAAAAUACAUCAUUGCAGAUAAGGAAAAUUUUACCUCCUUAUUUCCAAUUUUAAUUCUAUUUUCCUUUUGCAUUGACUUGUAAUUCGAGAGUAAUGCUAAAGAACAGUGCGGAAAGUGGGCAUCUUUGUCUUUUUCCUGACUCUAUUACCUCCUUAAUAAAUACAAAAAUAUUUUUUUUUCUUUUCUGAGAAUUAAAAAAAAACCUCCAAGGGGCACCUGGGUGGCUCAGUCGUUAAGCGUCUGCCUUCGGGUCAGGUCAUGAUCCCAGAGUCCUGGGAUCGAGCCCCGCAUCGGGCUCCCUGCUCGGCGGGAAGCCUGCUUCUCUCUCUCCCACUCCCCCUGCUUGUGUUCCCUCUCUCACUGUGUCUCUCUGUCAAAUAAAUAAAUAAAAUCUUUAAAAAAAAAAAAAAAACCCUCCAAAAUAAGAUGUUAAAUUUUAUCAAAUAACUUUCUGGAAUCUAUAUAAAUUAUUUUAUUUUAUAUGAAAAUAAUUUAUUAUGUUAAAUUAAGAUUGCUCAGGAAAUCAAAGAUUUCUGGUUGCCCCGAAUCUAUCAAAAAUUAUUAUGGUUACAACAUUAUUUGUAAUAGAAAACAAAAACAAAAAUCUAGAAACUUUGAAAGUGUUUCUCAACAGGGAAAUGGUUAAAUAAAUUAUAGCACUUUUAUAUAGUGGGAAGCUAUUCACCUUUUUAAAAAAUAAUGAAGUAGAUUAUAUAUGCCAAGAUACAUCAAUCUGAGAUCCAAGGUCAAGUAAAACUAGCAAAUGCAAUAUAGUGUGUGUCCUCAUUUGUGUAAACAAUACAAAGGGAUAUGCACAUGUAAAUAUGCAUGUAUAUACAAAGAAAAAUUCUGCAAGGACACAGAAGAAACUAUUAUUAAUGUUUACUUCUUGAUGAAGGAUAGAUGUCUGGGGAUUUGAGAUAACUCUGCUCUAUUUUGGAUUUUUUUUAAAAACCACAUACAUUUAUUCCUUUUUCAGUGAAAAAAAGAAUAACAUAAAAGUAAUGGUUAAAAGAAAAAAAUUUGUCCAUGUUAAAGGUUUAAAUGCUAAAAGAUGAAAGACAAGCAAUAUUAAACAUAACUAAUUAUGGGCCACAUUUGUCAUACAGAGGUUUUUGUUGUUUUGUUUUUGCACUUGAGAUAGAUACCUUACUCCUCUCAUCCUAGUCCCAGUUUUAUGAUAAAGCUCCAUCUUCUGGAAUUUUCCGGACGCCCCUAUACUCCUCUGCAGUGGGAACUUAAUCCAGCUGAGAUGGCCUCACGCUUACCUCUGGGGGAAUCAUGA